ensembl:misc_RNA
CAGCUGUCUGUCUUUUCCAUGUAGUGAGCUGAGAAGGUCAAAGGCACUUUCUAUGGGCCACACACAUGCUGGACUUCGGAGGCCAGUUUGCACGAAGAAACCAGCUAUUGUCACAAACACUAUGAAUAUGUCACGCUGAGGGGCAGAGCAGCAGGCAUCCAGUUGGGAGGUCCCCUCCUAGAAGGCUUGGUUGCCUAGCAACAAGAU